rnacentral:miRNA from 1 species
UGCAAUGCGUCUGAGCUCCUU